rnacentral:rRNA from 1 species
UACGGAGGGUGCAAGCGUUAUCCGGAUUCACUGGGUUUAAAGGGUGCGUAGGUGGGCAGGUAAGUCAGUGGUGAAAUCUCCGGGCUUAACCCGGAAACUGCCAUUGAUACUAUAGGUCUUGAAUUUUCUGGAGGUCAGCGGAAUAUGUCAUGUAGCGGUGAAAUGCUUAGAUAUGACAUAGAACACCAAUUGCGAAGGCAGCUGGCUACAGGGAUAUUGACACUGAGGCACGAAAGCGUGGGGAUCAAACAGG